CGGCCGCCGCCCCCUGUCGAAUCCCCCGCGGCCCCCUGCGCAGCGCGCGGAGCGCAGGAAACCGGCAUAUGCCAGGCUCCACACGUGGCUGCUCCAGGGUGUCAUUUUUCAUUUCCCGGGAGGACAUUUCUCCCGGUGGGCCGGCAGGUCUGUUUUGUUGUGACCUUUAAUUAACACCCCGCGAGACGCCUCGAGAGGGACCGGCCCAGUGCGGGGAUCACGUGAGGUGUAAUGGCAUCUCCGCGCCCAGAGACACCGUCCUGGGGGUGGGCGAGGGCUCAAAGGACGUCUGGGGCUUUCCAGAGCCUGGUUUCCUUCUGAGAUAGGGAGGGGGCAGGAAGACAACCUUGUGGGGUGCCGAAACCCUGGGGCAACGCCCCUCCCGCCUUCCCGGGGGAAAAUUCCUUCUGGGCCUGGCUCCCGCUGCCAUCCACCCGCCCUCCCCCUGCCGCCCCAGCCCCGGCGUGGGAAGAUUUCACAGCCACCAAAGCGAGGUCUCUUGGAGUUAACGUCUGCUACUGCACUUAAAAUGGAAGACACUUGCAACGGAUUGGAGGGAAGCAGAGGCCAGUUACUAAGAUCAGACAAUGUGUCCUUAGCCCACUGACACUGGGCACCAGAUGUGACGACCAUGGACCAUGCCACCAUUUAUCACAGGGAACAUGGCAUCGAUGAAUCACUGUUUAUAAUUAUAAAGGAAGAGAACUAACCUACAUGUGCAUCUGGAGGGGAUGGGUUUAAUACCUUACACUAUCAUCAGACCACGGUGUACCAUGCAGCCGUUAAAAAUGUUUUCAUAGGGGCGCCUGGGUGGCUCAGUCAGUUAAGCAUUCGACUUUAGCUCAGGUCAUG